rnacentral:rRNA from 1 species
GACGAACGCUGGCGGCGUGCCUAAUACAUGCAAGUAGAACGCUGAAGAGAGGAGCUUGCUCUUCUUGGAUGAGUUGCGAACGGGUGAGUAACGCGUAGGUAACCUGCCUUGUAGCGGGGGAUAACUAUUGGAAACGAUAGCUAAUACCGCAUAACAAUGGAUGACACAUGUCAUUUAUUUGAAAGGGGCAAUUGCUCCACUACAAGAUGGACCUGCGUUGUAUUAGCUAGUAGGUGAGGUAAUGGCUCACCUAGGCGACGAUACAUAGCCGACCUGAGAGGGUGAUCGGCCAAACUGGGACUGAGACACGGCCCAGACUCCUACGGGAGGCAGCAGUAGGGAAUCUUCGGCAAUGGGGGCAACCCUGACCGAGCAACGCCGCGUGAGUGAAGAAGGUUUUCGGAUCGUAAAGCUCUGUUGUAAGUCAAGAACGGGUGUGAGAGUGGAAAGUUCACACUGUGACGGUAGCUUACCAGAAAGGGACGGCUAACUACGUG